UACGUAGGGGGCAAGCGUUAUCCGGAAUUAUUGGGUGUAAAGGGUGCGUAGACGGGAUAACAAGUUGGUUGUGAAACCCCUCGGCUCAACUGAGGAACUGCAACCAAAACUAUUAUUCUUGAGUGCAGGAGAGGAAAGUGGAAUUCCUAGUGUAGCGGUGAAAUGCGUAGAUAUUAGGAAGAACACCGGUGGCGAAGGCGACUUUCUGGACUGUAACUGACGUUGAGGCACGAAAGUGUGGGGAGCAAACAGG
rnacentral:rRNA from 1 species